rnacentral:tRNA from 1 species
GGGCCUGUAGCUCAGUGGUUAGAGCAGUGGACUCAUAAUCCAUUGGUCGUAGGUUCGAAUCCUACCGGGCCCACCA